UACGUAGGGUGCAAGCGUUACUCGGAAUUACUGGGCGUAAAGCGUGCGUAGGUGGUUUGUUAAGUCUGUUGUGAAAGCCCCGGGCUCAACCUGGGAAUGGCAAUGGAUACUGGCAGGCUAGAGUGCGGUAGAGGGUAGUGGAAUUCCCGGUGUAGCGGUGAAAUGCGUAGAGAUCGGGAGGAACACCGAUGGCGAAGGCAGCUCGCUGGGACGUUACUGACACUAAGGCGCGAAAGCGUGGGGAGCGAACAGG
rnacentral:rRNA from 1 species